rnacentral:rRNA from 1 species
GCUCGGUACUCGCGAAUGACUCUAGAUUUAAAGUUUGAUCAUGGCUCAGCCUUGAACGCUNGCGGCAGGCCUAACACAUGCAAGUCGAACGGUAACAGGAAGCAGCUUGCUGCUUUGCUGACGAGUGGCGGACGGGUGAGUAAUGUCUGGGAAACUGCCUGAUGGAGGGGGAUAACUACUGGAAACGGUAGCUAAUACCGCAUAACGUCGCAAGGACCAAAAGGAGGGGGGGACCUUUCGGGGCCCUCUUUGGCCAAUUCGGGAUUUGUUGNCCCAGAAUUGG